rnacentral:rRNA from 1 species
GUAGGGAGCGAGCGUUGUCCGGAAUGACUGGGUGUAAAGGGAGCGUAGGCGGGAUGGCAAGUCAGAUGUGAAACCUGAGGGCUCAACCUUCAGACUGCAUUUGAAACUGCUGUUCUUGAGUGAAGUAGAGGUAAGCGGAAUUCCUGGUGUAGCGGUGAAAUGCCUAGAGAUCAGGAGGAACAUCGGUGGCGAAGGCGGCUUACUGGGCUUUUACUGACGCUGAGGCUCGAAAGCGUGGGGAGCAAACAGGAUUAGAUACCCUGGUAGUCCACGCUGUGAACGAUGAUUACUAGGUGUGGGGGGAUUGACCCCUUCCGUGCCGCAGUUAACACAAUAAGUAAUCCACCUGGGGAGU